UUUUGUGGUUGUGUGCUAUGAGUGUGAAGUGGGACCCACUUGUACCAAAGUCAUUACAAAUGACUUAAUUCACAUAUCAUACUCUCAUUUUCUCUCUUCUCAAUUACGUUCUCUCCUUUCCCCCCUUUCAGUUCCUUUUUUUCUUUUCUUUUACCAUCAUUUACAAGCUUGAUUUUUCUUCAACUGUUGGGAGUUUGUUAGUGUCGUUUGCGACAAAUCGGAAAGCACGGCGAGAUCUACGCGUAGGUCACGUGAAAGAAGUUGUGGACGACGUUCCUCGAUAGGUUUGAAUGGGUCACGGGAAGGAAGUAGCGGACGACGUUCCUCCAUAGGUUUGAAUGGGUUAUUGGACUGUUUUUUUAUCUUUUAUAUUUGUGAUUUCAUUUAUUUUCUACAACAAGUCUUGGGAUAGCACGUACAUUAUGUAUCGACCUUGGAACUUACCAUAGUGCCCUUAAACAACCUCGGGUUUGGGUAAGAACUCGGUUAGCGAUUCGAACCCUCGGGUUCGGGUCGUCACAAAUAAUUUUAGAAAAUGGUGUUACAAAUUUAAUUAUUUUUUCUAAUUUAUUAUAAAUUGAUAUUAAUAAUAAAAUUAAGGUAAAUGAUAUAAUUAAUUUUUAGAUAAGAGAAGAUAAUAAAAAUAUUUAAUAAGAAAUGAAAAAUUUAAUGAGAAAAGAUAAAAUAGUAUUUUGGAAUGAAUUUGUCCUUAAUUGUAAUAAAUCAAUAAUUUAGGGAGUUACUUGCGAAAGGAUAGUAGUUUAGGAGUUUUUUUACACUUUACCCUCGUACAUAAACCUAAGACUUCAAAGUAACAAAUUUUGAGAGUUACAUCAUUUAAGUUUUUAUUACUACAUGCAAAAUAUUUAUGUUAAUCAAUUGAAUAUAGUUUCUUUAACAUUUAGUGUUUUGAGUAAAUGCGGAAUAUGUAUUUGAUAUUUAUAUGUGCUAUCCAUUCUAAAUUUGUAAAACAAAUACUCUGGAAAACAAGAACAUAAAAAUAUAUAAAUUUUUUUAAAGGGAGAUGUUAUUGACACUGUAAAAAAUUUUUGGUUGUUGUUCAAUGGGCUUCCAAUUUUUCUGAAUUGCUACAUAUUUUGUUAUCCAAAUAGUUUAAUGGGUUUAGGCCUAUAGUUAGUUACUUUGGGCUUCUUGAGUAUAUCCAAGAGAGUUUGGGCCUGUUUGGAGCUUUGACUUAUUAUUUACAAAAUUGGGUUGUUUACUCUUGAAUAUUAUUCAAGGUUGGCAUAAGCUAAAAUUGGGUCAAUUCAAGUUUUGCUGAAGCGCUUGGUGUAAACCUGGAUCAAAUAAAGACUAGAUUUGACUCUGAUAUCAAUUAUUAGGGGUGCUAUCCUAAUCACUUCUUUAUUUCUGGGAUUGGUUCCCCUUAUAAGAGCAUCUCCAAUGCGAGAAGCUAAAUUCGCUUGCCAAAUCUAUAUUUUGACAGGUGCUACAGUGUCAAAAUGCUACAUUUUAGCAAUUCUGCUCUAAUGGUGCAUUUCAUGCAAAAUACUAUUUUUUGACACAAACCGUCAUUCUUUUUCAACUACCAUUCCCACCAUUUAUAUUUUUAUCAGUAAUAUUAAUAUUAGGCAAAUUUCAAGUCAAGUUGUAUACAGUAGAAGAAAACUAAAAUUAAACCUAAUUAAAAAGAAGCAAAAAUUUAAAAUAUCUGGUCAAAAAAGGAGCCAAAAAAUAAUAAUAAUAAUAAUUUUUUUACCACUAUUUGUGAAUUAAUUUUUUUAUAUAAUUUUUUUCUUUUUCGGAAAUUUAUAUAUAUAUAUAUAUAUAUAUAUAUGUAUAUUAUAUAUAUUUGAUUAUAUUAUUAUUAAAAAUAUAUAUAUUUUUAGGGCAAAUCAUUUCAGCCUCCCCAAUCACCUCCAUCUCUAUUCUCCUUCUCAACUCCGAGAACUUGCCCUCUCUCUCUCUCUGUGCAACUGCAAACUACAACUCCAACGACGACAGAAAGCUUCGACAAGCAAGGAAUUGUUCUUGAGACAACGGAGAGCUUGGGACGGCAGUCGCUUGAGGCGGUGCUUGGCGGGAUGAAGCGAUAACCGAGAACAGCAGCUAUGAUGGAUCCGGCGGGGAUGGGCUGGUGAUGAGUUCAGAUUCUAUAUUUGCAAAGGACUUCCUGCAUUUUUUUGUUGCUUAUUAACUUGGGAAUUAUUUGUGAAAUUUUUUGUUGCUUAUUAACUUGGAAAUUAUUUGGGAAAUUUAUGAAUAUAGAUGUUUUAAUUAUAAGACCUCAAACAAUUGUUGUAAGGUUCAGAUAACAGGGAUGGAUGGAUUAGAAUUCAGUGAUGAUGGUGGUGGGGUUAGAUUAGGGCUUUCUCGAGACGGAUAGGAUGAA